CUAAGCCGAGGCCGAAAGGCGUAGGUGAUGGACAACAGGUUGAUAUUCCUGUACCACCAAUAACCGUUUGAGAAAUGGGAUGACACAGUAGGAUAAGCUAACCGCACUGUUGGUUAUGUGCGGGCAAGUAUUGAGGCAGUUCCGAUAGGCAAAUCCGUCGGAAUAAUGCUGGGGUACGAUGCGGAGCGAAAUUUAGUAGCGAAGUAGCUGAUUUCACACUGUCGAGAAAAGUCUCUAUCGAGGUUAAAGGUGCCUGUACCGCAAACCGACACAGGUGGGUGAGGAGAGUAUCCUAAGGCCAGCGAGAGAACUGUUGUUAAGGAACUCGGCAAAAUGACCCCGUAACUUAGGGAGAAGGGGUGCCUUCGAAAGAAGGCCGCAGAGAAUAGGCCCAAGCGACUGUUUACCAAAAACAUAGGUUUCUGCUAAGUCGCAAGACGAUGUAUAGGAGCUGACGCCUGCCCGGUGCUGGAAGGUUAAGGGGAUCUGUUAGAGCAAUCGAAGCAGUGAACUUAAGCCCCAGUAAACGGCGGCCGUAACUAUAACGGUCCUAAGGUAGCGAAAUUCCUUGUCGGGUAAGUUCCGACCCGCACGAAAGGCGUAACGAUUUGGGCACUGUCUCAACAACAGACUCGGUGAAAUUGUAAUACCGGUGAAGAUGCCGGUUACCUGCGACAGGACGGAAAGACCCCAUGGAGCUUUACUGUAGCUUGACAUUGAGUCUCGGUGCUACAUGUACAGGAUAGGUGGGAGACUAUGAAGCAUGGACGUCAGUCUGUGUGGAGUCAUCCUUGGGAUACCACCCUUGUAGUACUGGGAUUCUAACCAGAGGCCAUGAAUCUGGUCUUGGGACACUGUCAGGUGGACAGUUUGACUGGGGCGGUCGCCUCCCAAAAAGUAACGGAGGCGCUCAAAGGUUCUCUCAGUACGGUCGGAAAUCGUACGAAGAGUGUAAAGGCAAAAGAGAGCUUGAUUGCAAGACAUACAGGUCGAGCAAGGACGAAAGUCGGACUUAGUGAUCCGGUGGUUCCGCAUGGAAGGGCCAUCGCUCAACGGAUAAAAGCUACCCUGGGGAUAACAGGCUGAUCUCCCCCAAGAGUCCACAUCGACGGGGAGGUUUGGCACCUCGAUGUCGGCUCAUCACAUCCUGGGGCUGAAUUCGGUCCCAAGGGUUCGGCUGUUCGCCGAUUAAAGUGGUACGCGAGCUGGGUUCAGAACGUCGUGAGACAGUUCGGUCCCUAUCCGUCGCAGGCGUAGGAAAUUUGAGGAGACCUGUCCUUAGUACGAGAGGACCGGGAUGGACGUACCGCUGGUGUACCAGUUGUUCUGCCAAGGGCAUGGCUGGGUAGCUAAGUACGGAAAGGAUAAGCGCUGAAAGCAUCUAAGCGCGAAGCCCACUUCAAGAUAAGAUUUCCCACCGCAAGGUUAAGAUCCCAGGAAGACUACCUGGUUGAUAGGUCAGAGGUGUAAGUGCAGUAAUGUAUUUAGCUUACUGAUACUAAUAGAUCGAGGACUUGACCAA
rnacentral:rRNA from 1 species